AACGAACGCUGGCGGCAUGCCUAACACAUGCAAGUCGAACGAGACCUUCGGGUCUAGUGGCGCACGGCUGCGUAACGCGUGGGAACCUUCCCUUAGGUUCGGAAUAACUCCCCGAAAGGGGUGCUAAUACCGGAUAAUGUCUUCGGACCAAAGAUUUAUCGCGUUUGGAUGGACCCGCGUUGGAUUAGCUAGUUGGUAGGGUAAAAGCCUACCAAGGCGACGAUCCAUAGCUGGUCUGAGAGGAUGAUCAGCCACACUGGGACUGAGACACGGCCCAGACUCCUACGGGAGGCAGCAGUGGGGAAUAUUGGACAAUGGGCGAAAGCCUGAUCCAGCAAUGCCGCGUGAGUGAUGAAGGCCUUAGGGUUGUAAAGCUCUUUUACCCGGGAUGAUAAUGACAGUACCGGGAGAAUAAGCUCCGGCUAACUCCGUG
rnacentral:rRNA from 1 species